rnacentral:rRNA from 1 species
UACAGAGGGGGGCAAGCGUUAUUCGGAAUUAUUGGGCGUAAAGGGCGCGUAGGCGGCCAUUCAAGUGACGGGUGAAAGCCCUCGGCUUAACCGAGGAACUGCCUGUCAGACUGGAUGGCUUGAGACCGGGAGAGGUGAGUGGAAUUCCCAGUGUAGCGGUGAAAUGCGUAGAUAUUGGGGAGGAACACCAGUGGCGAAGGCGGCUCACUGGACCGGAACUGACGCUGAGGCGCGAAAGCGUGGGGAGCAAACAGG